CCUACGGGAGGCAGCAGUGGGGAAUAUUGCACAAUGGGGGAAACCCUGAAGCAGCGACGCCGCGUGAGGGAAGAAGUAUUUAGGUAUGUAAAGCUCUAUUAGCAGGGAAGAAAAUGACGGUACCUGAGUAAGAAGCACCGGCUAACUACGUGCCAGCAGCCGCGGUAAUACGUAGGGGGCAAGCGUUAUCCGGAUUUACUGGGUGUAAAGGGAGCGUAGGCGGCAGUGCAAGUCUGGAGUGAAAGGCGGGGGCUCAACCCCCGGACUGCUCUGGAAACUGUACGGCUGGAGUGCAGGAGAGGUAAGUGGAAUUCCUAGUGUAGCGGUGAAAUGCGUAGAUAUUAGGAGGAACACCAGUGGCGAAGGCGGCUUACUGGACUGUAACUGACGUUGAUGCUCGAAAGCGUGGGGAGCAAACAGGAUUAGAUACCCCAGUAGUC
rnacentral:rRNA from 1 species